UACGUAGGGUCCGAGCGUUGUCCGGAAUUACUGGGCGUAAAGAGCUCGUAGGUGGUUUGUCGCGUUGUUCGUGGAAAACUCACAGCUCAACUGUGGGCGUGCGGGCGAUACGGGCAGACUGGAGUACUGCAGGGGAGACUGGAAGUUCCUGGUGUAGCGGUGGAAUGCGCAGAUAUCAGGAGGAACACCGGUGGCGAAGGCGGGUCUCUGGGCAGUAACUGACGCUGAGGAGCGAAAGCGUGGGGAGCGAACAGG
rnacentral:rRNA from 1 species